AAAAAUUUAGUUAAAUCUAUAACAUUAGCUUGUCAAGCUAAAAUUAUUAAAUUUUUAAUAAUUUUUA
rnacentral:tRNA from 1 species